rnacentral:tRNA from 1 species
GUCCAGGGAUGGGAAUCGAAACCACAAUGUUCCGCUUACCGGGCAGAUGCCAUGUCCACUAGGCUACCCUGGA